AUUGAACGCUGGCGGCAUGCUUUACACAUGCAAGUCGAACGGCAGCGGGGAGGAGCUUGCUUCUCUGCCGGCGAGUGGCGAACGGGUGAGUAAUACAUCGGAACGUGUCGAGAAGAGGGGGAUAACCACCCGAAAGGGUGGCUAAUACCGCAUAAAUUCUGAGGAAGAAAGCUGGGGACCUAGGAAUAGGCCUAGCGCUUUUUGAGCGGCCGAUGUCGGAUUAGCUAGUUGGUGAGGUAAAGGCUCACCAAGGCGAAGAUCUGUAGCGGGUCUGAGAGGAUGAUCCGCCACACUGGGACUGAGGCACGGCCCAGACUCCUACGGGAGGCAGCAGUGGGGAAUUUUGGACAAUGGGGGCAACCCUGAUCCAGCCAUGCCGCGUGUAUGAAGAAGGCCUUAGGGUUGUAAAGUACUUUUGUUAGGGAAGAAAAGUCAGCUGUGAAUAUUGGCUGAUACUGACGGUACCUAAAGAAUAAGCACCGGCUAACUACGUG
rnacentral:rRNA from 1 species